AUUGAACGCUGGCGGCAGGCCUAACACAUGCAAGUCGGGCGAGUGGCGGACGGGUGAGUAAUGUAUGGGGAACUGCCUGAUGGAGGGGGAUAACUACUGGAAACGGUAGCUAAUACCGCAUACCAUCAGAUGUACCCAUAUGGGAUUAGCUUGUAGGUGAGGUAACGGCUUACCUAGGCGACGAUCCCUAGCUGGUCUGAGAGGAUGACCAGCCACACUGGGAUAGAGACACGGCCCAGACUCCUACGUGAGGCAGAAGUGGGGAAUAUUGCGCAAUGGGCGCAAGCCUGAGGCAGCCAUGCCGCGUGUAUGAAGAGGGCCUUCGGGGGGUAAAGUACUUUCAGUCGGGAGGCGUUACCGGCAGAAGAAGCACCGGCUAACUCCGUGCCAGCCGCCGCGGUAAUAC
rnacentral:rRNA from 1 species